rnacentral:misc_RNA from 2 species
AAUUCUCAACCCCCGACGGAUUUGUUUCUGACGUGGGGCUUGGAUGUGAGGGUGUGCUGGACUCCAAUAGGAGGUCAGCUCCCUUUGAAUGCAUUAGCGGAUUUUACCAUCGUGGAUAGGCUUCGGACUGAUAAUUAUCUAUGCCGUCGCCGUGAAGCGGUAAUCUGCUCAUAACCGUCUUCGGACAAUUUUUGACU